rnacentral:rRNA from 1 species
ACGGGAGGCAGCAGUGAGGAAUAUUGGUCAAUGGACGCAAGUCUGAACCAGCCAUGCCGCGUGCAGGAAGGCGGCUUAUGAGUUGUAAACUGCUUUUGUACGAGGGUAACGCUCUUACGUGUAAGAGCCUGAAAGUAUCGUACGAAUAAGGAUCGGCUAACUCCGUGCCAGCAGCCGCGGUAAUACGGAGGAUCCAAGCGUUAUCCGGAUUUAUUGGGUUUAAAGGGUGCGUAGGCGGUUUGAUAAGUUAGAGGUGAAAUACCGGUGCUUAACACCGGAACUGCCUCUAAUACUGUUGAACUAGAGAGUAGUUGCGGUAGGCGGAAUGUAUGGUGUAGCGGUGAAAUGCUUAGAGAUCAUACAGAACACCGAUUGCGAAGGCAGCUUACCAAACUAUAUCUGACGUUGAGGCACGAAAGCG